UACAGUUGUGUACAGGCCGUUGUUUUUUUAUUUCUUCAAAAAUGACCCUUUUCUUUGGUUUUUGUUCUACUGCAAAAUAUUUUAAGGUAAAUCUCCUUCAUGUUUUUUUAUCCUCAGUUACUUUGACACAUCGGCUGUGAUGUUUACACAUCUGAUGAAGUCUCACAAGUGUCAGAACUGAUAAAUGAUCAGAAUUAUAAUAUUUCUGACUGACUGAGGCUAAAUUUCACAGAUUCAAUCGAAUCGAUUGUAGAAAUCAGUGAUGAGACCCAGCUCUAUUUCAUACAUAACUAAAGUUACCCACUGACGAUAACUGAUGACAGUGUGCUCAGAUUGUUCUUGAAUGUGGAGCUUUCAAGUAUGUAUUCAGCACAAAAAGGUUUUCGUCAGCUUCAUUUAACUUCUUCCUGUAACUUCUGUCAGUUAGACAGUAAUUAUGCCAAAUAAAGGACAGUAAUUAGAAUUGAUUACCCUCAUGCUGUAUAACAGUUCUGUAACAUUCUGUUUGCACUUCCUUCAGUCUGGAAAAAUCACACCCAUCAGAUUCACAUUGAUGUGAUAGUUACAUGUUUGCUCACUGGUUUUUCUCAUGUCUGCAGGUACCAUUGGUACUGUAAAAUGUGGAAACGGCAGCCCCCACCCGGGGAGGCCGACCACCGCCGCCUCAGGUGGAACAUCCGGGUAUGUGUGGGAUGAGGCAUGAAGUUAUUACAACGUCAGUUUCAUUGACUGAUGGCAACAUUGCUGCCCAGGUCAGGAGCAGCUGGCACAAGGAACAAUCCCUGAAAAGGAAGAUAAACCCCCCAAAAAAUACCACCACUACCGCAAGGGGUGAGACAGGCAGCCCCCACCGGGAGGCGGACCGCCGCCUCCUCCGGUGGCAAGUCCGGGAGCAAUUGGCCCAUGGGCUGCUGCCCAAAACAAAAGAAAAGAAAAGGCCACCAAAGCUCACCGACAGACACCCUCAGAAAAAUAGACAAGAGGAACAGCUGAAGGACCAAUUGGCCUGUGGGCUGCUGCCCAAAACAGCAGGAAAGAAAAAACCACCCAAGUAA
rnacentral:lncRNA from 1 species